rnacentral:rRNA from 1 species
UACGAGGGGGGCGAGCGUUGUUCGGAAUUAUUGGGCGUAAAGGGUGCGUAGGCGGUUCCGCAAGUCCUGUGUGAAAUCUUCGGGCUCAACUCGAAGUCUGCACGGGAAACUGCGGGGCUUGAGUGUGGGAGAGGUGAGUGGAAUUCCUGGUGUAGCGGUGGAAUGCGCAGAUAUCAGGAGGAACACCGGUGGCGAAGGCGGUUCUCUGGGCCUGUACUGACGCUGAGGAGCGAAAGCGUGGGGAGCGAACAGG